ensembl:lncRNA
CUCUUUUCCGCCAGCCGCCGCCGCCGUUUUCCCCGGUAUGGACGAACAGCGGGCGAGGUCUUUUAUGCCUUUCGCGGGAAGGUCAACAAACGGUGAGAAGCUAUCGAAAACGACCUGUUUUACCACAUUUCCAGGCCACUUGACCCACGGGGACCUGACUUUGCAACAUUCGUCGGGGGCGCUGCAAAAAGCUUAGCUUCUCGGAAACUCAGGCCUGCCUGUGUCUCUCAAGGAUGGACAGAGGUGGUUGUGGACUUAAAGACCCUUUGAUGUAAGGGAUAGAGAGAAGCUAAGUGAGCGCACCCAUCUCUGAACAUUUCAACCGCGAGGGAAUCCGAGCAAAGUAACAAUAAGAUACAACUAAUAUCCUAGGAAUGCUGCUGGUUUCACGGAGCCAAAGCUGGAGAGGAGUUUGCCUGAGGAUGAAUUGUGCCGCAGCUCUUACCCAUAUCUGACUCGGAUGACAAUCUUGAGGCUGUUGGGAUGGAAUGUGUGCAUUUUGCAUGCAAGAAGGAUGUGAAUCGGGAGGAUGGAGCCAGUGGUGGAUUAUCAUGGACCGAUUAUUAUUAUCACCUCCGAGUCACAUGUUGAAGCCCUAGAACCCAGUGUGGCUCUAUUUAGAGAUAGGGGCUCCUAAGUUGGUUUACAGUGUUCUGUCAAUUUUCUCCUGUACUGUCGGGAGCCAUAAGGCUGCUCCAGUAAAGAAAGCAAAGCCACAGUCGGCACCUGCAUGAGGCUUGUCUGGUUAGCAGAGCUACAGACAAGCUGAAGAAAGAAGAAGGAUUGCAGAGCAAUCCCUUGAAAGACAUCGGCUCCAGGAAAAUAAAAAUGAUAUCCCCUAAAAAAUAUGUUAAUCUAUUUUUCUGUGUUUAUCUUUCCUUUUCUAUCUCUAUUCACAGCUUUCUUACUGCUAAAGAUUUGCCCUGGGUACGUAAAACACUUGAACCAAAACAGAAUGAAGUUAUUUAAACAAUGUAAUGGAAAAAGCCUUUGUUUUGGAGUAACAAUUUAUGGCACCUAUUUUGUGAGAGUAUACAGGGGAAACUUAUGAUUUCAGUCCCUUUACUUAAAAAGAAGUUUGGGGCUGGGAAAAUGUUGUUUGGCCUAUAAAUUGCUAUUUUCUAUAAUAGAUAUAUUUUUUAACAGUGUCACUUGUAACUUUCAUCCCUUGUGGGGGCAUUUGUUAAUUUUUGGGUAUAAUACUCCUUUCUAUUGAAAUUGGUGGUUUGGAACUUACGUAAAUCAGCACAAUAGGUUAAAUGCUUAGCUUGCUGGCGCCAAAUAAAUCGUGGUUUUAAGAAUGCCAUGAGCCCAAGGCUUUCAUGCGUUUUGUUAACUACAUACACCUUUAGUUAAAGAAUGUUAGGUAUCAUAGUUUAUUACUUAUUAAAGCUUUGUUCUUAAUAUAGAAUAGAAUAGCUACUGUUGUUGACCUUUUAAGAAAAAUACAGUGUGAAACUUUAAGUUUGUAAUCUUGAAGGAAAAUCUAAAGUUGAAAGGAACAUGUUUUAACUAACCUUUUUUUGUAUCUCGGGUGGAGGGAACAAAAGGGCUUUAAAUCAAAUGUUAAUGUCAAAUCUUACACGAAACCUGAUUGUGAUAGGGUAUAAAAACUGAUGCUUUUCAUUUAAUAAAUUGGGUCAUCUGCAGCAUGC